rnacentral:Y_RNA from 1 species
AGGUGGUCCGGAUGGUGAGGGUUAUCUGUUUACAAAUCUGUCGUUUGAAUGCAACCCUUCUCCCUCACCCCCAUUUGACCAUCUUUUU